UUCAGUUUCUGAUUUGAUGAGUGUGUUCUU
rnacentral:piRNA from 1 species